UCAGACGAUGCGUCAUGCAUAUCAAUAAGCGGAGGAAAAGAAACUAACAAGGAUUCCCUUAGUAACGGCGAGUGAAGCGGGAAGAGCUCAAAUUUGAAAUCUUCAAGGUUUUACCUUGACGAAUUGUAGUUUAAAGAAGUGUUUUCUGCUGAAGUUUUGGUAAAAGUUCUUUGGAAUAGGACAUCAUAGAGGGUGAGAAUCCCGUAUUUGACCAUUAUUUUCAGCUUUGUGAUACACUUUCAAAGAGUCGGAUUGUUUGGGAAUGCAGUCCAAAAUGGGUGGUAAAUUUCAUCUAAAGCUAAAUAUUGGCGAGAGACCGAUAGCGAACAAGUACCGUGAGGGAAAGAUGAAAAGAACUUUGAAAAGAGAGUUAAACAGUACGUGAAAUUGUCAAAAGGGAAGCGUUUGACACCAGUGUUGUUUUCUCGAAAAUCAAUUAAAAAUGGCUCGAUUUUGUAUUGCUUGAGACCUUAAAAGCUCACUGUACAUUUUUCGUGUCUUUUUUAAUGCACUUUUCGUUUAACAAGUCAACAUCAGUUUCUUUUGUUGUAAAAGGGUCAUUGGAAGGUGGCUUUCUUUUCGGAGAAAGUGUUUAUAGCCUUUGGCCUCUGCAAUCGGAGAGGACUGAGGUCUGCAGCGUAGACUCUUCGGGGUUAGAUACAUUUGUGCUAAGUUAUAGCUUUUUAUAGACAACUUGUUGACUAUAAUUAGUCUUGUAGCUUACCUCGCUUAUGCUAUUUUACCUACGCUUAGGAUGUUGAACUACUGAGACAUAGA
rnacentral:rRNA from 1 species